UACGAAGGGAGCUAGCGUUGUUCGGAAUCACUGGGCGUAAAGCGCACGUAGGCGGACUUGUCAGUCAGGGGUGAAAUCCCGGAGCUCAACUUCGGAACUGCCUCUGAUACAGCAAGUCUCGAGUCCGGAAGAGGUGGGUGGAAUUCCUAGUGUAGAGGUGGAAUGCGUAGAGAUCGGGAAGAACAUCGGUGGCGAAGGCGGUCUGCUGGGCCGUUGCUGACGCUGAGGCGCGACAGCGUGGGGAGCAAACAGG
rnacentral:rRNA from 1 species